GACGAACGCUGGCGGCGUGCCUAAUACAUGCAAGUAGAACGCUGAAGGAGGAGCUUGCUUCUCUGGAUGAGUUGCGAACGGGUGAGUAACGCGUAGGUAACCUGCCUGGUAGCGGGGGAUAACUAUUGGAAACGAUAGCUAAUACCGCAUAAGAGUAGAUGUUGCAUGACAUUUGCUUAAAAGGUGCAAUUGCAUCACUACCAGAUGGACCUGCGUUGUAUUAGCUAGUUGGUGGGGUAACGGCUCACCAAGGCGACGAUACAUAGCCGACCUGAGAGGGUGAUCGGCCACACUGGGACUGAGACACGGCCCAGACUCCUACGGGAGGCAGCAGUAGGGAAUCUUCGGCAAUGGACGGAAGUCUGACCGAGCAACGCCGCGUGAGUGAAGAAGGUUUUCGGAUCGUAAAGCUCUGUUGUAAGAGAAGAACGAGUGUGAGAGUGGAAAGUUCACACUGUGACGUUAUCUUACCAGAAAGGGACGGCUAACUACGUG
rnacentral:rRNA from 1 species